GCCGUCAUCUUAUACUUGGGAGUCAGACUGUGGGUGAUAAGAUUCAUAGUCGAAAGGGCAACAGCCCAGAUCGUCAGCUAAGGUCCCUAAAUGUAAGUUAAGUGGUAAAGGAUGUGGGAUUGCACAGACAACCAGGAUGUUGGCUUAGAAGCAGCCACUCAUUCAAAGAGUGCGUAAUAGCUCACUGGUCGAGUGAUCCUGCGCCGAAGAUUUCCGGGGCUAAAACUUACUACCGAAGCUACGGCAUCAUUAUGAUGGGUAGGGGAGCUUCCCAUACGGGUUGAAGCAUGACCGUAAGGACAUGUGGACAGUAUGGGAGUGAGAAUGUUGGCAUGAGUAGCGAGAUGUGGGUGAGAAUCCCACAGGCCGUAAACCCAAGGUUUCCAGGGGAAGGUUCGUCCGCCCUGGGUUAGUCGGGACCUAAGCUGAGGCCGAAAGGCGUAGGUGAUGGACAACAGGUUGAUAUUCCUGUACUACCGAUAACCGUUUGAGAGAAGGGA
rnacentral:rRNA from 1 species